AUACAAAUAAAAUAAUUAAAUAUUUAGGUAUUAAGAUUCCCAAAACACUGACAGAAAUCUGUGAAUUAAACUACUCACCAAUUACAAGGGAAUUGAAAGAAAACAUUCAAAGGUGGAGCCUACUGCCACUUGAUCUGUAUAAUAGGAUUGACCUGAUCAAAAUGAAUAUACUUCCGCUACUGCUUUUCCUUUUUCAAUCUAUACCAGUACACAUACCAGCCAAACAAUUUGCGUUAUGGAACAGAAUGAUUUCGGAUUUAUAUGGAAGGGCCGUAAACCCAGAGUUAGGUAUAUAACAUUGCAACUACCUAAGGAAAGAGGUGGACUUUCCCUCCCAAACUUAGAAAGUUAUUUUAAAGCAGCACAAUUAAGAUAUUUAAUUUAUUGGUGUGAUCCGUCGUACGAAGCAAAAUGAAAAUAUUUAGAUGUGACAAAAUUAAAAUUACCACUACAGACAAUACUAGGAGAUAAAAAAUUAUAUUUGGAACAGAAAAAUAAUUUAAACGAAUGGACUAAAACUCCUUUAAAGAUAUGGUUUGAUGAAUGUGAAAGUCUUAAAUCAGGAGCUGGUCUCAAACAACUCAGAUGGGUCACACAUGAUAAGGAAUUUAUCCCUGCACAAAUAGAUAGACGUUAUACAACUUGGUUAACAAGGGGGAUCGGACCAUUUUGCUCAUUGUUAGGAAAAGAAGGAUUACAAAGUUUUGAAAAAUUAAGAGACACCUACGGUUUGGAAAACCAAGAUUUUUUCAGAUAUCUUCAAGUCAGGUCCUAUUUCAAUAGUAAUAUAAAAACUACAGAAGAACAUAGUGAAGGCCUAGUCCCCGUUAUAAAAGAAGCUUAUAAAGGUCAGAUUAAAAAUAAAUUGAUUGCUAAACUUUAUCAGAACUUACAAUCACUUAAGGAUCAAUCAACCAAUUAUAUCAAAAUUAAAUGGGAGACGGAGGCUAAAAUCAACAUAUCAGAGGACAGUUUGUUAAAUAUAUGCAGGACACAGAUGGAAACUACUAGUUUGGGUUACUGGAGGGAAUUCACGUGGAAAAAUUUUAUUAGGUUUUUUAUAACACCCAAAAUAAAAUACAAACAAAAAGGUCAACUGACAGAUGGACAAUGCUGGAGAAACUGUGGGGAAAACAUGGCAGAUCAUUUUCAUAUAUUUUGGAAAUGCCCAAUAAUCCAACCAUACUGGAGUGAAGUGGUUGAAUCAAUUUACUUGGUGACUGGUCUCAAAUUAAACUUGGAUUUCUGUACUGUGUAUUUGGGCGAUAUCCCAUCAGCAGCCUCCUUAAAGGACAAAUAUUUGAUAAACAUCCUGUUGGGAGCGGGCAAAAAAGCGCUUACCAGAAGGUGGCUGGAGAAAGAGCCCCCAACAAAGAAAGAUUGGAUAGGAAUAAUGGAGGAAAUAUAUAGAAUGGAAAAACUUACUUUUUUUUUAACCUCAAAAUGGACCAAUUUCAUAAAAACUGGAGGAAGUGGGAGAGAUUUGUUGAAGGUGGUAAUGUGGGAUGAGGGGUGGUGGGUUAUAUAACAAGAGCUUAACUAAGUAUUUUCACGCAACUACUGAAAGAAGGAAGGUCUGCUAAGGACGUGGUCACGUUUUUUUAUAAGGUAGCUCAUAAAAGAGACUGGAAAUACCCUUCCGAAUAUCAUCAGGGAUGGACUGUAAAGUGCUGCGUGGACAGUAGCAAAAACCUGACGACAUGGGACCUGUAAAGAGGUGGAGGGGAGCUCCCCCAGACCGGGCAGAUCUGAGAGUUUCACUGUGCCAUUAUGUUAUUGUCAGUGCGUAUUAUGUUUGUUUGUUUGUUUGUUUUUCUGGGUUUUUUUGUUGUUUGUUUUUUUGUUUGUUUGUUUGUUUUUGCUGUUUUUGUUUUCUUCAUGUAGAUGACUGUCAUAAUUACAAAACUUUCAAUUAAAAAAAAAAAAAAAAAAAAAGCUUCAAAAGGAAGUAAAAUGAAAACAAGGUUGGUUUCAGAUAGCUGACGUAAACACUAGCACACAGCUGGAGCCCUCAGCCACCUGUAAUUCAACAGUCUGUAAUUUAAAAAACUAAUAAUAGAAUAAACUACCCCCAUAUAUUUGUAUAUGUAUAGAUGUCCAAACUGGUUUUUGUACCAGGUUGAAAACAUGGUUAU
ensembl:lncRNA